rnacentral:misc_RNA from 1 species
AAGAUUUAGGAGCUUGAGAUCUUCAAACCUUGUGUAAUCAGUGAUUAUACGAAACCUAUAAGUGAACCACAGUGAUUUAUAUGAAUAACAAGUUCGAUAUGAUCUUGUGAUUAUAGUGAGCUAAAGAUUCUAAACCCUGUACCCGGAUACUGAACCUUGUACCCGGAUACUGACCCCUGUACCCGGAUACUGAACCUUGUACCCGGAUACUGACCCCUGUACCCGGAUACUGAACCUUGUACCCGGAUACUGACCCCUGUACCCGGAUCCUGAACCUUGUACCCGGAUACUGAACCCUGUACCCGGUUAAUAUGACGGGGAUAUUCAAAUCUAUUUUUCUUCUAUUAGUUGGUUCUAGAUGUUGUAUCUCCCAGAGACUGGAUUGUAGAUCUAAUGAUCUAAAUGCUUGUAUAAGACUUGCUGAUCCUCUACUCCAAGCAAACCAUGUCUUCCCUUCAACAUCUAAGGAUAUUGAUCACGUAUGCAAUGUUCUUUUCCCACAAACCUGGUCAAAAUUUGUAGAUUGCAUCAAACAGUACACUACAUCAUGUUUAUCACAAGAUCAGAGAGGAGAGUUUAAUAGAGCAGUGGGAGACAGUAUCAAUAGUGUACAUAAAAUGUGCACAAACGAGGAUUACAAAAAUGACUAUCUCCGGCAUGCUGACUGUAUCAAGGAGAAAUCUACGAACCCAGAGUACUGUGGAACCUACUACUCCAGGCUCCUGGGUCUAGUGAGGGGAGAUGCUCCUAUAGUUUCCCAAACAGAGAUAUGCUGUGCGCACAGUUCGUACAAGGAGUGCGUUAUUGCGGAGACAGAGGCCUGCCCUUGCACAGGAGACAAAUGUAGACAAGGAAUGGAAGCUACAGGGUUUGCCAGAGCAAUGCUAGACAAGGCCCUAGGGUUCCUACUCAAACAGUGUCAAUCAUAUGUGCCUGCUGAACGAGAUUGUCCAAUCUACAAGAGAAAACAGGAUAAAGAACCCAGGUUGGACGAGAACAACCAGAACGAUGGGAACAGGUAUGAUGAAGGUUCAUACUUCCCUAGUGGAAUGGCCGGACGGGACGAAAGGAGAGAGGACGACUGGACGAAUAUGAAUGGAAACAACAAUGGAGGUUUGGAGCCAGAUAACUCCAUCAUGGAUAGAACGGAGAAAACUGAAACCCAAACCUACCUAGCUCCCUCUAGCUGGGAAACAACCAUCAGUCCGUUAGUUGAACCUUUCAUUCCACAACAGCAGGAGGAUGAGCGCCGGAAACCCUGGUUUCCAUCAACGGAUAUCCGGUCUUUUGAUGAUAUAUUCAGUAAUGCAGUGGAUAAUACCCAGGCACAACUACUGGCUAGUGGAGCUAAUCAAUUCUAUCCUUCUAUAAUCAUCAUCCUUCCUCUUAUCAUACUAAUUAUACUUCAGUAAUCUGUUCCGUAGUUUGUUCAGUAACCCGUUCAUUAACCUGUUCAUUCAUCUGUUCAGUUAUCUGUUCAGUUAUCUGGUUCAGUUAUCUGGUUCAGUUAUCUGUUCAGUUAUCUGUUCAGUUAUCUGCUCAGUUAUCUGGUUCAGUUAUCUGCUCAGUUAUCAAGUUCAGUUAUCUGUUCAGUUAUCUGGUUCAGUUAUCUGGUUCAGUUAUCUGGUUCAGUUAUCUGGUUCAGUUAUCUGGUUCAGUUAUCUGCUCAGUUAUCUGUUCAGUUAUCUGUUCAGUUAUCUGUUCAGUUAUCUGUUCAGUUAUCUGUUCAGUUAUCUGUUCAGUUAUCUGUUCAGUUAUCUGUUCAGUUAUCUGUUCAGUUCUCUGUUCAGCUAUCUGUUCAGCUAUCUGUUCAGCUAUCUGUUCAGCUAUCUUUUCAGCUAUCUGUUCAGCUAUCUGUUCAGCUAUCUGUUCAGAUAUCUGUUCAGUUAUCUCUUCAGUUAUCUGUCUAGAUAUCUUUUCAGUUCUGUUCAGUUAUCUGUUCAGUUAUCCGUUCAGUUAUCUGUUCAGUUAUCUGUCUAGUUAUCUUUUCAGUUCUGUUCAGUUAUCUGUUCAGUUCUGUUCACUAAUAUGUUCACUUAUAUGUUCAGGUAAAUGUUCAGGUAUCUGUUCAGUAACCUAUUCAGCAUUCUGUUCAGCAAUCUGUUCCAUUUUUUGUUUAGUAUUUUGUUCCGUAAUAUAAAUAGUGUGAACUGUUCGUAUAUCUGUUCGGUAAUCUAUUCAGAAAACCAUACAAUAAUCUGUUCAAAAAGCGGCUAUCAAAUUAUCGGUUCAGAAAAAUGCAGAGAAAUCUAUUCGAUCAAAAAACUAGUAAUCUGUUCUUGUUUAAGUUUACUAAAUCUUGUCGUAAAGAUUAAAAUAUUUGA